AACGAACGCUGGCGGCAGGCCUUAUACAUGCAAGUCGAGCGCAUCUUUCGGGAUGAGCGGCGGACGGGUGAGUAACGCGUGGGAAUGUGCCCUUCUCUACGGAAUAGCCACUGGAAACGGUGAGUAAUACCGUAUACGCCCUUAGGGGGAAAGAUUUAUCGGAGAAGGAUCAGCCCGCGUUAGAUUAGGUAGUUGGUGGGGUAACGGCCUACCAAGCCUACGAUCUAUAGCUGGUUUUAGAGGAUGAUCAGCCACACUGGGACUGAGACACGGCCCAGACUCCUACGGGAGGCAGCAGUAGGGAAUCUUGGACAAUGGGGGAAACCCUGAUCCAGCCAUGCCGCGUGAGUGAAGAAGGCCUUAGGGUCGUAAAGCUCUUUCGCCUGUGAUGAUAAUGACAGUAGCAGGUAAAGAAACCCCGGCUAACUCCGUGCCAGCAGCCGCGGUAAUACGGAGGGGGUUAGCGUUGUUCGGAAUUACUGGGCGUAAAGCGCGCGUAGGCGGAUUGGAAAGUUGGGGGUGAAAUCCCGGGGCUCAACCCCGGAACUGCCUCCAAAACUGCCAGUCUAGAGUUCGAGAGAGGUGAGUGGAACUCCAAGUGUAGAGGUGAAAUUCGUAGAUAUUUGGAAGAACACCAGUGGCGAAGGCGGCUCACUGGCUCGAUACUGACGCUGAGGUGCGAAAGUGUGGGGAGCAAACAGGAUUAGAUACCCUGGUAGUCCACACCGUAAACGAUGAAUGCCAGUCGUCGGGUAGUAUACUAUUCGGUGACACACCUAACGGAUUAAGCAUUCCGCCUGGGGAGUACGGUCGCAAGAUUA
rnacentral:rRNA from 1 species